AGUGGCUCAGAUGGUAAAGAACCUGCCUGCAAAGCAGGAGACCCAGGUUCGAUCCCUGCGUU
rnacentral:tRNA from 1 species